AAAUUCUUUGGUACAUGAAAAGGACAGUCUUCAUGGGGCCUAUGUGAUCUAAAUCAUAGUGUAUCUGAAACAGAAGUUUUAGCGUCAGAUGUCAUCAUCAGACUGUAAAUAGCAGAUGGGUAGCAAGUUGUAGGUGGCAUUUAAGAAGUGAAAUCAUACGUAUUGGUUAUGUCAUCAAAGGAGGUGCCUUACAAAUGAGGGGAAAUGAUGCAGAGUUGAAAAGCAUUUCAAAUAAUCGGACAACUUCCGUACCUUCCUUAAGACUAUCGCUAGCAUUUGUUAUUGAAACUACGGCCUCAACACAGAAGAAAAUGCUCAUCCUGCUGCUCUCUCCUCUAGUCACUUUCUUCCACAGGAUUCAGUGAAAACUUGUAAUGUGCCAGACCCAGAUACGGAAGAGACAGGGCUAGUCUAGGAAAGGGGGGAGGAAAUGCGGUCCCUCUUGUCCUAGUCCCCAGUGAACUAUUGAAAGAAGAAAAGAAAGCAAGGGUGAUGUUUCUCCUGGUUACACCCCUAGGAAAGAAGAGUGUAGCGCAAUAUGGGAAACAAUAAAGGAGGAGAUUCCAGAAACAUCACUUUACAUGUGAUAUUCUGGGAGCAGACCACCUUCCAAGCUGCCCUAUACUAACCCUGGGAAAGCCAUUUCAAAAUAAACUCAGUGGAAUUUUAUUGUUAAGCUGACAGAAGACUGGAGUUUUGCUUCAUAUAUAAUAAGGAUGGGAUAAGAAUUCCUCUCUUGCUUCUGAAGGGCAUGGGAAGCUUAACAGCCUGGCUGAUGGUUCUUGUCAGAGGGGAUCAUUGAGGCAGGGCAAUGUUUUCUCAGAAUUGUAUCCUCAAAGCUGGGAAAUCCAAUGUAGGCCACUAGCAGGGAAAUCACAGACGUACGUGGUGUCUCCAGGAACAGCAAUUGCUGAGGUGGGGAUAAGCCGCAGGGGAGGACCAAGCUGCAUUGUCUCUAUUGAAAGGCCACAGACCAUAAAUUACAAGGGACAAUAAGUUACAUCACAAUUGUUAGCAGUAGAUUCCUGCAGACUCCUUUGGAACAAGGCCAGUCAUCCCUCAGCUCGAUGAUUACCAGUCUAGGGAGCAUCCUCAGAAGCCUGCAUGGCAAAUACCAGUAGGGAUCCAAAGGCUUCCACAUGGAUCCAAGGAACACAUCUCCACUCUGCGACCAUAAGGUCCCAAAGAACGACUGCUGACUCAUUCACUAAGAGGCUAGCUACAUCAUGCCAUCCUGAGAGACUGAGGAUGUAUCUGAACUCUCCAAAUGGAGACGGAAUUGCCUAAGGAGACAAUCUCAAUGGUUGGAUCGAUCCUAGAUCAUCUAAUUGAACAAAAUACAGGUUUACGGAUUUCCC